GAGUUUGAUCAUGGCUCAGAAUGAACGCUGGCGGCGUGCCUAACACAUGCAAGUCGUACGAGAACUCUUUAAGCUUGCUUAGAGAUAGUAAAGUGGCGCACGGGUGAGUAACGCGUGGGCAAUCUGCCUCCAAGAUCGGGAUAACUCGCCGAAAGGCGUGCUAAUACCGGAUAAUAUUUUAGGAACGCAUGUUCCAAAAAUCAAAGAUGGCCUCUACAUGUAAGCUGUUGCUUGGAGAGGAGCCCGCGUACCAUUAGCUUGUUGGUAGGGUAACGGCCUACCAAGGCUGCGAUGGUUAGCUGGUCUGAGAGGAUGACCAGUCACAUUGGAACUGAAACACGGUCCAGACUCCUACGGGAGGCAGCAGUGAGGAAUUUUGCGCAAUGGGGGAAACCCUGACGCAGCAACGCCGCGUGAGUGAAGAAGGCCUUUGGGUUGUAAAGCUCUGUCAAGUGGGAAGAAACUAUUCGAUGCAAAUACCAUCGGGUACUGACGGUACCGCUAAAGGAAGCACCGGCUAACUCCGUGCCAGCAGCCCGGUAAUACG
rnacentral:rRNA from 1 species